GGUUAAGUUAGAAAGGGCGCACGGUGGAUGCCUUGGCACUAGGAGCCGAAGAAGGACGGGACUAACACCGAUAUGCUUUGGGGAGCUGUACGUAAGCGUUGAUCCAGAGAUUUCCGAAUGGGGGAACCCACUAUCUUUAGUCGGAUAGUAUCCUUACGUGAAUACAUAGCGUGAGGAAGGCAGACCCAGGGAACUGAAACAUCUAAGUACCUGGAGGAAGAGAAAGAAAAAUCGAUUUCCUGAGUAGCGGCGAGCGAAACGGAAAGAGCCCAAACCAAGAAGCUUGCUUCUUGGGGUUGUAGGACACUCUAUACGGAGUUACAAAAGAAAGUUAUAAAUGAAGCGGUCUGGAAAGGCCCGCCAAAGACGGUAACAGCCCGGUAGUUGAAAUGGCUUUCCCUCCAGAGUGGAUCCUGAGUACGGCGGAACACGUGAAAUUCCGUCGGAAUCCGGGAGGACCAUCUCCCAAGGCUAAAUACUCCCUAGUGACCGAUAGUGAACCAGUACCGUGAGGGAAAGGUGAAAAGCACCCCGGAAGGGGAGUGAAACAGUUCCUGAAACCGUGUGCCUACAAGUAGUUAGAGCCCGUUAAUGGGUGAUAGCGUGCCUUUUGUAGAAUGAACCGGCGAGUUACGAUUUGUUGCAAGGUUAAGCGGAAAAAGCGGAGCCGUAGCGAAAGCGAGUCUGAAUAGGGCGCAUAAGUAACAGGUCGUAGACCCGAAACCAGGUGAUCUACCCAUGUCCAGGAUGAAGGUAAGGUAAUACUUACUGGAGGUCCGAACCCACGCACGUUGAAAAGUGCGGGGAUGAGGUGUGGGUAGCGGAGAAAUUCCAAUCGAACUUGGAGAUAGCUGGUUCUCUCCGAAAUAGCUUUAGGGCUAGCCUCGAGGUAAAGAGUCAUGGAGGUAGAGCACUGUUUGGACUAGGGGCCCUUCUCGGGUUACCGAAUUCAGAUAAACUCCGAAUGCCAUGUACUUAUACUCGGGAGUCAGACUGCGAGUGAUAAGAUCCGUAGUCGAAAGGGAAACAGCCCAGACCACCAGUUAAGGUCCCCAAAUAUAUGUUAAGUGGAAAAGGAUGUGGGGUUGCUUAGACAACCAGGAUGUUGGCUUAGAAGCAGCCACCAUUGAAAGAGUGCGUAAUAGCUCACUGGUCGAGUGACCCCGCGCCGAAAAUGUACCGGGGCUAAACAUAUUACCGAAACUGUGGAUGAACCUCUUUAGAGGUUCGUGGUAGGAGAGCGUUCUAAGGGCGGUGAAGUCAGACCGGAAGGACUGGUGGAGCGCUUAGAAGUGAGAAUGCCGGUAUGAGUAGCGAAAGAAGGGUGAGAAUCCCUUCCACCGAAUAUCUAAGGUUUCCUGAGGAAGGCUCGUCCGCUCAGGGUUAGUCGGGACCUAAGCCGAGGCCGAUAGGCGUAGGCGAUGGACAACAGGUAGAGAUUCCUGUACCAGUGCUAAUUGUUUAACCGAUGGGGUGACACAGAAGGAUAGGGAAUCGCACGAAUGGAAAUGUGCGUCCAAGCAGUGAGUGUGAGAAGUAGGCAAAUCCGCUUCUCGCGAAGCAUGAGCUGUGAUGGGGAAGGAAAUUAAGUACGGAAGUUCCUGAUUUCACGCUGUCAAGAAAAGCCUCUAGGAAGAGUAGUACUGCCCGUACCGCAAACCGACACAGGUAGAUGAGGAGAGAAUCCUAAGGUGAGCGAGAGAACUCUCGUUAAGGAACUCGGCAAAAUGACCCCGUAACUUCGGGAGAAGGGGUGCUCUAUUAGGGUGCAAGCCCGAGAGAGCCGCAGUGAAUAGGCCCAGGCGACUGUUUAGCAAAAACACAGGUCUCUGCAAAACCGUAAGGUGACGUAUAGGGGCUGACGCCUGCCCGGUGCUGGAAGGUUAAGAGGAGUGCUUAGCUUCGGCGAAGGUACGAAUUGAAGCCCCAGUAAACGGCGGCCGUAACUAUAACGGUCCUAAGGUAGCGAAAUUCCUUGUCGGGUAAGUUCCGACCCGCACGAAAGGCGCAACGAUCUGGGCACUGUCUCAACGAGAGACUCGGUGAAAUUAUAGU
rnacentral:rRNA from 1 species